rnacentral:rRNA from 1 species
GUCUACAGCCAUACCACCCUGAACAAGCCCCAUCCUGUCUGAUCUCAGAAGCUAAGCAGUGUCGGGCCUGGUUAGUACUUGGAUGGGAGACCAGCUAAGAAGAAUAGGUGCUGUAGGUG